UACGUAGGGGGCAAGCGUUGUCCGGAUUUAUUGGGCGUAAAGCGCGCGUAGGCGGCUAGGUAUGUCGUGCGUGAAAUCUCUCGGCUUAACUGGGAGGGGCCGUGCGAAACUGCCUGGCUUGAGGUCGGAAGGGGAAAGUGGAAUUCCGGGUGUAGUGGUGGAAUACGUAGAUAUCCGGAGGAACACCAGCGGCGAAGGCGACUACCUGGCCUGUUCUUGACGCUGAGGCGCGAAAGCUAGGGGAGCAAACGGG
rnacentral:rRNA from 1 species